GACGAACGCUGGCGGCGUGCUUAACACAUGCAAGUCGAACGGAAAGGCCCUGCUUUUGUGGGGUGCUCGAGUGGCGAACGGGUGAGUAACACGUGAGUAACCUGCCCUUGUCUGUCGGAUAACUUCAGGAAACUGGGGCUAAUACCGGAUAGGAGCUCCUGCUGCAUGGUGGGGGUUGGAGAGUUUCGGCGGUUGGGGAUGGAUUCGCGGCUUAUCAGCUUGUUGGUGGGGUAGUGGCUUACCAAGGCUUUGACGGGUAGCCGGCCUGAGAGGGUGACCGGCCACAUUGGGACUGAGAGACGGACCAGACUCCUACGGGAGGCAGCAGUGGGGAAUAUUGCACAAUGGGCGGAAGCCUGAUGCAGCAACGCCGCGUGCGGGAUGCCGGCCUUCGGGUUGUAAACCGCUUUCGCCUGUGACGAAGCGUGAGUGACGGUAAUGGGUAAAGAAGCACCGGCUAACUACGUG
rnacentral:rRNA from 1 species